CCCAUCACACUGUGGGUAAAUUUAAAAUCGCACAAAGGUGGGUCUGUAAGUUAAGAGAAAACUUUUCUUUCCUUACACAGCGGCUGACUUAGGCAGCAUGGGAUCAUUAGUGACCAAACAGAUGCCCCCAUCUAUAACCCAGAGACAGUUCUCAGCUGUACAGAGAACCUUUCAUUUCCUACAUAGAGGUGAACUCAAAACGUGUCACUGAUUUUUGCACCCUCUUAAUCUUCCUGUUUAUUCUGUGCUUCAUUAAAGUCAAUCUCCACAGGGCAGACUGUCAUCUGAGCUCGGCCUGUCCUGCUGUCUUCUCUCUCCAGAGAGCAUCCUUCAUCCUGAUAAACGGGCUGUGAGCUGAGCACGUGACUGAGCUCCUUAAGACCUGGGUCUUCAGCUUCCUGCCCUCACCUUAACUGGAAACUGGGUAAAAGCCACAUCAAGAGGAGUUCUGAAAAUGGCAUGUGGAUGAAAAGGGAGCCUCUUGGAGACUCUGGCGGCUGAAGAUACGCGUCAGUCAAGGAAUUGGAUUUCCCUAUACCAAAAAGCCAUUGCUGGCUGAGCAGAACAAGAUGUGGACUCACCAAACUCAACAACCUGCUUUUCUCACAAGAAAGUAUUAAUUGCGCUACUUCCUUUUACUUAAUGAAUCUCAAAAUUUUAUUUUGGCUUUGACUGUGAAGGCGAGAGAGAAAUGCCAGGGUUCCACUCCUGCCUUCCUGAGUCAGACCAUCUGGCGAACAGAGCUCAUUCAUCUACACGUUUUUUUUUUAAUGUAUAAAAUAAACAUAACAAAAUUGACCAUCUUAACCAUUUUUAAGUGUACAGUUCAGUGACGUUAACUAUAUUCACAUUGUUAUGCAACUAUCACCACCAUCCAUCUUCAGAACUCUUUUCAUCUACAAAACUGAAAGUCUGUGCCUAUUAAACAGCUAUCCAUUCCUCCCACCUCCCAACUCCAGCCCCUGGCAAUCACCAUUCUACUUUGUCUUUAUGAUUUUGGUUACUCUAGGUACCUCCCGUAAGUGGAAUAAUAAUACAGUGUUUGUCCUUUUGUGACUGGUUUCUUUCACUUAGCAUAAUGUCCUCCAGGUUCAUCCAACUUGUGGCAUUUGUCACUUUGAUUCCUUUUUUUGAGACUGAAAAAUGCCCAUUGUGUGAAUAUACCACAUUUUGUUUAUGCAUUCAUCCAUCAGUGGACACUUCUUCCACCCUUUGGGUAUUGUGAAUAAUGCGGCUAUAAACUUGAG